rnacentral:rRNA from 1 species
GAUGAACGCUGGCGGCGUGCCUAAUACAUGCAAGUCGAGCGAACGGACGAGAAGCUUGCUUCUCUGAUGUUAGCGGCGGACGGGUGAGUAACACGUGGAUAACCUACCUAUAAGACUGGGAUAACUUCGGGAAACCGUAGCUAAUACCGGAUAAUAUUUUUAACCGCAUGGUUCAAAAGUGAAAGACGGUCUUGCUGUCACUUAUAGAUGGAUCCGCGCUGCAUUAGCUAGUUGGUAAGGUAACGGCUUACCAAGGCAACGAUGCAUAGCCGACCUGAGAGGGUGAUCGGCCACACUGGAACUGAGACACGGUCCAGACUCCUACGGGAGGCAGCAGUAGGGAAUCUUCCGCAAUGGGCGAAAGCCUGACGGAGCAACGCCGCGUGAGUGAUGAAGGUCUUCGGAUCGUAAAACUCUGUUAUUAGGGAAGAACAUAUGUGUAAGUAACUGUGCACAUCUUGACGGUACCUAAGCAGAAAGCCACGGCUAACUACGU